UGGGGAAUCUUGGACAAUGGGCGCAAGCCUGAUCCAGCCAUGCCGCGUGGAUGAUGAAGGCCUUAGGGUUGUAAAAUCCUUUCGUUGGGGACGAUAAUGACGGUACCCAAAGAAGAAGCUCCGGCUAACUUCGUGCCAGCAGCCGCGGUAAUACGAAGGGGGCUAGCGUUGUUCGGAUUUACUGGGCGUAAAGCGCGUGUAGGCGGGUCGUUAAGUUGGAGGUGAAAUCCCGAGGCUCAACCUCGGAACUGCCUUCAAAACUGGCGACCUGGAGCAAGAUAGAGGCAAGUGGAAUUGCGAGUGUAGAGGUGAAAUUCGUAGAUAUUCGCAGGAACACCAGUGGCGAAGGCGACUUGCUGGAUCUUUGCUGACGCUGAGACGCGAAAGCGUGGGGAGCAAACAGG
rnacentral:rRNA from 1 species